GGUGAACGCUGGCGGCGUGCUUAAGACAUGCAAGUCGAACGGCAGUCUUCGGACUGUAGUGGCGCACGAGUGAGUAACGCGUAACUGACCUACCCCAAAGUCGCGGAUAACGAUUCGAAAGAAUCGCUAAUACGUGAUGUGCUGUCAGAUUGUGUUCUGCCAGUAAAGAUUGAUUGCUUUGGGAUGGGGUUGCGUUCCAUCAGCUAGUUGGUGGGGUAAAGGCCCACCAAGGCGACGACGGAUAGCCGGCCUGAGAGGGUGGCCGGCCACAGGGGCACUGAGACACGGGUCCCACUCCUACGGGAGGCAGCAGUUAGGAAUCUUCCACAAUGGGCGAAAGCCUGAUGGAGCGACGCCGCGUGAGGGAUGAAGGUCUUCGGAUCGUAAACCUCUGAAUCAGGGACAAAAGACACUUCGGUGGGAUGACGGUACCUGAGUAAUAGCACCGGCUAACUCCGUGCCAGCCGCCGCGGUAAAAC
rnacentral:rRNA from 1 species